UUUAAAUUUAACUUUACAUCUACACACAAAUUGAUUAAUAAAUAACGAAUGCCUUAAUAUACAUCUAAUUCUUUGCAAUUUUUUACAUUCUUUACAACGAUAGUAAACGAUUGACGAAAAAUUCCCAACGGCUACAAGUAUUGCAGGAUAAAAGAGAAAAUAAUAAUUCAUUAUGCAUUCCAAGUUGAAACCGGCAAGAAGAGAAUUGAGGAUAACAAGUCAAUAAAGAAAUGUGUUUACGGACGGGAAAAGAGCGACUAGAUAUGCAACUAGAAGAAGUGAAAAAGGAAGAAAAUUGGGAAACAGAAUUAACCAAGAGAGCCACCAUAUUUGGAAAAAGAACUUUUCGUUGUAGUACAGUAAAUUAAG